GGUCCCGGCCGAAGCCCCUCGAGGAGCUGAUUUGGCCGCCCCGAGGGACGGCUGGGGGGGCAGCCCCGAGCUGCUCGGCUGGGGCCUCGUUCUUGGGGCAAGAGGCAGCGGGGGCCUGCGCAGCGCUGGGAGUUGGCGCUGAAAAUCCCAGCUCGGGGGGGUCGGGGCUGGUUUCCAUCCCACAGGACGGCUCCUGCUCCUUGAAUUCCAGGCAGCAGACCUGCAGCUUCAUCCGGGUUUCUUGAGAAAACUUAACAUGAGUUUCCUUUACAAGCUGGUGGUUCUUGGUGAACUAAAUUACUUGGUCAAAGAAUGGAUUUCAGACUUUAGUGAGAGCAAGAAUCUUCCCCCUUCAGCAGCAGCAAAUGUUGGUGCAAAAUGUUUACAUUUGGUUCUUACAGUCUUGGAGUGCACCCUCAAGGCAGUUGAAGAUACAUGUGUACCAGUUGUCAGGUUUGAGUUUGGCACUGAGAUUUGAACGAUGAACUGUGAGCUAUUGAUCCAGCAUAGCAUAAAACUCACCUGUACCUGUUACUAGCAACUUUUUUCUUAGAGGCUACAGAGCUACUGGUGAAAUAACAGCAUCUAGAGCCAACUGAGGAGAACUUCCGGCUCACACUCCGUGCAAUUAAACUGUGGGCAAAAUGUGAGUAAAGGGAUUGUUCGUGAACUGUAAACUUUUCAGAGGCACCUCAUGCUGAAAAAAUAAGACAAUUAGAAGUACUUCAACUUUGGAUAGCUGUUUAAAUGACGGCUUUUAAACUAGAACCUGUUCUUUAGUUUAGAUUCACGGUCUGUCCAUGGGGUGGAUUCAAUGUGUUUUUUAAUGGGGGUAGAGUGGGGUGAAGAGGGGAGUGCCUACAAGACAAGGUGCUGCAUUGCUUAUCAGGAACCUGACUAGAGAUGGUAAAAAAGCCAAGUUAAGUAUAAAAGCUUGAUACGUAAGGAAGAAGAAAAUACUGUUUGUGCAUGUGGCUAGAGCAAGUGCUAGAAGAACGCUAGAAUUUUUUGUAAGGGAAGUUAGAGUAAAGCAGUAGCUGUAGCCGUGUAGGCAAAUUUCAGAGUAGCAGUAUUUUGGGAAGUGGUGUGGUCGUGGUUCUUCUCAUCACUGUUAAGGACCAACAAUUUUGGCCUCAUUGCACUGCAAAAAUAACUGACUUGGAGUCUGAAGUGUACUGAGUAUUCUACAGAUUGUGAAGUUGGUGCUGUAAAUUUGAAGGAAGGUCCUUGGGUAUUGAAGGACUGCAGGCUAACGACACGUACCCAUUCUAGGGCACGGCAUUUACUGCAGCGUGCUGGGAUUUCUUGGUGGGGUUUCCUGGGCAGUGCUAGUAGCAAGAACAUGUCAACUCGAUCCAAAUGCCAAGAAAGGCAAAGCCAAGAGGAGAACAUUAAUUGCAUUCCCUGAAGGGGAGGUGCAAACUGAAGGAGGGCAACUCAUCGGCCCCUGUCAGAGUUUCAACACUUGAGAUAAACAGAAAAUAUAAAAUUGUAGGAAGUUAACAGUGGCCAAGAAGCAGAUUAUAAAACCACCUGAUCCAAAUCUCAGAAAGACUUUCAAUAUUGAUUUAUGUGAAUAUUAGAGCAAGGCUGAAAAUUAAGUGGUUGCUUCUGCUUGCCAGGUCAUAAGAUAACUUAAAUGGGCUAAACAGUAAUGAGAAAAUGCUAAAGGCAACAGCGAAGUUUACUGGUUUCCUCCACUGGACCAACUGUGCAGUGAACCAACUUAACAGAGCCAGUCUACGAAUGUCACUGAAGUUGCUUAAAAAAAAAAAAAAAAAAGUCCUUAUCCUGGAAUGUAAAGGCAGCACCUUGGCUCCCAUGCAGAGUGUCAGAGAUGGCCCAGUAGGGUCAUGUCCUGACAUUCCAGGUCAGAAAAAGAAGGUGCUGGAUGUGU